CGGAGAGUAGCGCAGUCUGGUAGCGCACCAGUUUUGGGAACUGGCUGUCGUGGGUUCGAAUCCCGCCUCUCCGACCA
rnacentral:tRNA from 1 species